GGGCGGGGCGAGGGGCGGAGGGACUAGGGCCGCCCAGCAGUCGCCUCAGGGCGGGUGUAAGAGGCGGAGUGUGUCGGUUUUGCUCCGUUCCUUGCAUCCUGCACUGGUGUGGGGUGACAACUGCGGCUUCGUGCAAUAGCCCUCCCGGCUGGACACGCCUGGGAGUUGGAGCGGGUGCCUCGAGGUAGCAGGCAGCUCGUGAUCGCUGCGAUGCUGGGGCGCGUGGAGUGUCCCACGGGAGUUGGGCCCCCACGUGCUCAACAGUGAACCCGGAAGUGGGCCAGAAGCCCCCCCGCAUCCUCCCCGACUCGGCAAUCGGCCAUGGGAGGCCCCUGGGUGCACGCCGUGGGGGCGUGGGGGGGCCCCAGCACACUCCCCAGCAGGACCGGAAGUGAACCAGAAGCACUUCUGGUCCACUUCUGAGUGUGCUGGGGAGCCCCCCACGCUCCUGUAGGACGCCCCAGCAUCACAGCGUUCACGAGCCACCUGCCACCUACACCUUUUUGGCUCAGGUCAAGUGCCUCAACCUCUUGUGGACUAAGAUCAAAUGGGGACAUCUGAAUCCCAGGAUCUCUGGGCUUGGGCCUGCGCGUAGGAUGCCUGCCCAUGGAUUUGAGAGUAUCUGAAGUCCUGGGAAAAUGGCAACGUCCCCCAACAACAGUUUCACUGAUGAAAAGAGGGAUUCAGCCAAGGAUCAGGCUGAUGAACAUUUCAGACUAGUUCAAGCCAGGCUGCAUCUACCUCCUGGGAGAAAAGAACACAAGCCUUGGGUCUCUGCUCCAGUUGUUUGCUCUAUGAAGAGAGGAUUUCUCAAGCACACCGAUCAAAAAGGGGGAAAACACUUUCCCAUCUCCUGUGCUGGACUGGCUGGAUGAUGCACCCUGGUGCUGUGUCAACAGAAGCAAAGUACAAUAUGUUCCUGAAAGACAGAAAAAAAUGCACUUCCUCUCUGGUCUGACAGGUCUGCUAAUUUUCCCUUGCAAAUCCACUUUGACCUUCAUCACUCUGAUAUGAGGGCUAUGUCUACAAGGAGAUCCAGCAACUGAUGGCCAUAUGUUAGUUAGCUUUGGACCAGCUCUUGCAGACACUGGGAGCAGUCUGCCUAUAGCAGCUCUGUGCAGUCAGGAAAGCAGUACUUUGCUGCUGGAGCAUGUGUUGCAGCAGUUGCUUUGCUGUUGGUGCUAGUGCAGAGCUAACCCAGGUACGAUUUGCCAAGCUGCAGUGUAGAUGCCUCCUUGGCAAUCAUGAGACCACUGUUAAGGAACAAGCCCUCACCCAGCCCACUUGCUCCCAGUCUGUACACACUGCUUGCUGUGUUGGUGCAGCACCAGGAGCGCUCUCAGGAGUGCCUCAGUGGGGCUGCGUGUCCCUGGCAUUCCUGGAGCAGCAACCACAUAGCUUGAUUUCAGCGUUUGGAGUGUGCAGUAUAGGAGCCAAUGCAGGGCCCUGUUUUGGGGCUCUUAGUCUCUCCCCAGGAGAGACUGACUCACCCGUUUAAUUUGCAAGUCUUCAGCUUUGUUCCUUUUGUGAUAUAUCACAAAUCUUUUGGUCAAAACACAUGGCAAGUGUUGAUCAAGUGCAUCUGAUGCAUGCUGACAAGCACAACAGAAACAACAUCUUCUCAUCAACAUGAGACAGGAGAUUGGAGGUGGAAUAGGAUAUUCAGAAAAAACAAACCUGUGGGACAAAAAAAAAAAAAAGCUUUGUAGAUAGUUCUGGGAAGGAUCCAUUUAAUCACUUUUUCACGUUAAUUAGGGUUCCUCCUCUUGGUACCCUUCAAGUUAUCUUAACUUUUAUUCUUAGUUGUUUCAGUGUUAAAAAAUGUUUUACUUGUUUUCAUGAAUAAUAGCCUGCAUGUUGUUGCACAGUGGGUGAAAAUUACUCUGGUGUAGGGAGUUGAAACAGGGCCUUUGAUUCAGUAGAACAUAAGGAGUGUAUAAACUAUGGACUGGCCAUCUGAAUAAUUAAUUUAAUCUGAAGUGCAUGGAGCACAUUAAAGUUCUGUCUCAAUGUAAAUGCAGUGAGAUGGUAACAGAUUUGGCCAAUCUGUCUUUUCUACAAAAAUAAGAUUGUCCUAUAGCUGGAGUGGCUUUCGUCUGAGGAUCUUGAUAGCACCCAAAUACAGUAUAUCACUACAUCUCAUCACUAAAUUACAAUUUUGCCAUCAGCUUUUCUUUAGUCACACACUCACUAACCCAGUUGCUUAAGUCCAAAUGUAGUUUUAGUUGAGACUUAUUUUGGGUGGGCUUAUAGCUGUUACCAGUGCUUGUGAAAGUGCAGAAUUAAAACAGCAAACUGAUCCUAAACAGAAAGUGGAAUUGACUUAUUUGAGUUCAUUGUCUUACUGAGGAAAAUAAAAAGGGAACCACCAACAUAAAAACUGUAAAGGGAGCUCAAGCACUGCAGUCAUUUCCAUUUGAAUCCUCAGUGGUGUUACUGGUAGCAGAGCUGGUGACAUCUUUAAUGUCUGGUUUUUAUUUUGUCUUAUCCUCUCAUAUCAGCUCUGUCUUUCAUCACAGAAUGUGGAGCCCAAAUCACCUGAAGCUUACAGGGAAUUGAUCUAUGGUUCUCUCCCUUAUUUCCCAGACUGCGCACCUAGAUUUGAAUGUAUAUUGUGGGGUCAGCUGUGGCAAUCAGAUUGGUUUUCCAUUUCCAUCUAAAUGCAGCCAGGUUUGUGGGCAUUUUCAGCUCCUAGGGUAAUGUGUUCCAAAUCCCUGGGUCAGCUGCUGGGAUAGCCCAGUCCUGCACAUCUCUGCUGAGUUGUCAGUACAUUGCUGCUUUUGUUUCCAUGGAUGAUAGCUAUCGUAGUGAAGCCUCAUGAUGAGGAGAGAGACAUUCUGCGAGGCAUCCCACUUACAGCUUUAUGAGUCAAGGCUUGAACUGAGCUUACAUUCUUUGUGCUCACACCACCCUCAGUGACAGUCUGGGGCAUGUAGGAAAUAUUGAAUCACCUACAGAAGCCCCUCUGCACCAGUGCAGCAUAGCUAAGGUGCCAUGGGUAUUUGGGAAGAGUUUCAGGCUGGAGGAGGAAUAGAGUUGGGGAGCAGCCACAAUAUAGAGGAUGCUCCUCUGGGAACAGGAAUUGAUCCACAUAUAUUGAUCCUGGUUGGGCUGAUGGCAGCUUGGCAUAUCCACCACUUGCUGUGCUUCUGGGAGGCACAGAAGGGCAAUUUCUUGGGGUACUUGAUUGGUGACUUUGAAAAUUGAGCCCUGAAUCUCCAACAGCUUCCUUCUGGGAUCAUAGACUCAGAAAAGUCAGGCUGGCAGGGCCCUCAGGAGGUCAUGUAGUGCAGCCUCUGCUCAAGACAGAAUCACCCCUGUCUAAACCACUUCACUCAUGUGUUUGUCCAAACUGCUCUUGGAAGCUUCCAAGGAUGGGGAUUUCAAAACCUCUUUGUUCCAGCGCAUCUCCCGCCUCAUAGGGAUUUUACAAGUGCCAAUCUUGCUGCUUGCCUAAUGGUGACAUCGUAGCCUCUUCAGGGGGGUGUUGGGCAGCCUUGUGGAGUAUUCAGAAUCAGCAUGCCCUUUCCAUUAAUUGUUUUCCUGCAUGAAGGGAAGCAUCUGGGACCAGGCAUGGUGCCUCUCAAGACUGAUUUGUUAUCAUGCCACACCAUUAUAUCUGGUUCGAUCAUGGGAAUAUGCUAGAAAUAUAGAAUGUUGUGCUCGCUCACAUGAUGAGUUUAGUGAAAAAUAGAAACCAGCAUGGCACCGAAAACACUGCACCAAAUGUUGCACUCUGUUUCUAAUCCUGCGAUCACUAAAUUCAGAAGGGGAGAAACGACCUCAUGGAAAACAAAAGGUUAAUUUACUUAUGAGCAGUCAAUGAGGGGAGUGCUGUGUCCAUCUUUUCAACACAGCUGGAUAAUUUUAUGAUCAUCAAUAACAUUUGGAGCUAUAAUGGUAUGGACAUAAUUAAAUUUUGUGCUUCGAUGCAUCAUCCGAUUCCCUGCUAGAAAGAAUUCCCCUAUGCAUUUGACUCCUGUUCGCUGUACUCAGUAUUGCACAUGCUUGAUAUUUUUUAUUCCACCUUCUUUGGAUACAUUUCAUAUCAGCCAAUGCCACAAACCACACUAUGGAUUGGGUGUUGGGUCCUGAACAGCAACAUGUAUACAGUCUGUGUUUGUUCUUUUCUAUAUGCAGACUCACAUAAAUAAAAUUAUGCAGUAUAAACCCACGUGGUAUAAAACACCUUCCAUCAGUUUAACUGAUCUAGGAGCCUCUAUGCAAAAAUUGUACCUACUGAAAACAUGUUUUAACAGAAUCACUCUGUCACUUAAACCAUUACAACGUGUGCGGGUCACGUCUUACCCAAACAAAACAAGAAAAUAAUUUGGACCUAAAUGUAGAACUACUUUAAAAGCCGUCAAAAUGCCUAGCAAUGCCAGUUAUGUUUAUAAAAGCACUAAACUUUCGUAGGAAAUCUCUAACUGGUAACUCAAGCAAACUAUGGGAGCAUUGGCAUAGACGGUACAAAGAUGUUGUCACUACCAUGUUGUGCAGAUUUCCCAAUGUAGGGAAAUAAUGCUUUCUUUGAUCAAUUGGGGUAGUUGAACUCGAUGAGAAAUCCUCACCUAAUACAGUGGGUGAAUUUCUGGCCUUUGUAAAGCCAAUAGCUACUUUGCCGUCAACGUCAGUGGGACCAAGGCUUCACUCACUGGCUUGACAUUCAAGGGUACAGAGUUUCUAUUGAGCAGAACUAAUUCAGCUGAGUGAACUCAGCUAAGGAAAUACCGUUUGUCCUUGUUGGUGCCUGCCUUGUCCCCACUGCUGCUCUGUCCCCACUAGCACCUCCACCACUGCUGUUGCAGUGUUAGCAGGAUGCUACGGGACUUCCCAGAAGAAUCAGUGCCGCAGACCCCCCAUAGAAUGGAAAGGGCAGUUGUCAAUGCCUGAAACACUUCGGCACGUUUCAGUAAAGAGUCUUUCCUUUCAAGAAGCCUCUCUCCCUUUUUAGUGAAGCUUCAUUCACCAUAAAGGGAAUCCACUGUGCCAGCCAAGCAAGCACAUAGAGCGUGCUGCAUUCCCAGGGCAAUAAUUUGGCAGAGCAAAAGAGAAGAGAGACAUACUGCUACUUCAGGUGGAGAGGAGUAAGGAGAAAUGCCUGGGGCAUGGUUGCAGUACAGUUGCUCUUAGAUGUCUUAUAAAGAGGGGGUGUUCCCUGACAGGAGGGGGAAGAAAUGCCUAUAAAGGAGCCUCCUCACUGCCAGCUCCUGGUCCUUACACACUGGCAUUCAGGUUUUGCCUACAGUUGCAAAUUGUUUCAGGUUACGGUAAAGUGUGAAUCAAAGUGCAAAAGCAAUUCCCAAAUAACUCUAGGGAAGGAAAGCCUUUAGUAGCAUUUUCCUAGUCCCUUUUAGCAGGUGUUAAUUGAUUUUUAAGAGGUUUUAGGGGGCAGAGACACCUGCCCCCUAAAAUGCUUGUGUUUUAGCCUAGGACUGGGAAGCCUGACCCCUAUCCUGCCAAUGACAUUAAAUAACAUGCGUUAUGUUAGUCCCUCUCUGGUUACAAUUAAGCUCUUUAUAGGAUGUAAUCUACCUCUCUGCAGAGGGCCAACACAUGGAUCAACCUCUGUGUUGAGGAUUUAAGUAGGAUUUUAGUGGUCCAAAGGCCAACCGGUAAUCCCCCCCAUACCAGAGACUCUCACCCUGUGUUGAUUUCCCUCUUGCUGGAAGAGCCUGCCAUUGUGCCAUGAAAAGUUUUUAAACUUUUCUUUAGUUUCUAGCUCUUACAUGUUAGCUGAAAACUGCUUAUCUGUAUCUCUUCAACAGGAGAUUUAGUUAUCUGUGAAGGUCAGAAUUAGAUGCCGUCAUGUCAGCAGGAUGCAACACACCUGCAGUGCCUUUCUGUGCAGCACUCUGCCCUCUUGUCAUGGAACUUAAUCCACCUUUGUCGCUUUUACCAGCCUCCCUUUAAGUGACUGUGGUGUUAUUUUUCCCCUUAGUAGCAUGUAGGUCACCAGACAGCCUUAGGGACCCACCAGCUGACACACAUCCUCCAUUUUGAAUCUGUGCAUCAAGCUUUCUGGAGGGAAUAAAAGUGCAGUUGCUACUGAGACUCCCUCCAUUUUGCAGGGCUGUAGUUUGAUGGGGUUUUUCCCAGCAUAGUUCUGCUGCUGGUGUUAUUUUAAAAAAAUCCCAAAUAGGGAAGGAAAAAAAAUAAACUUCAGGAAGGCUCCACCUCCUAGUUUGGAGUGGUUCAGUUGAAGUUUAAUGGGCCCAUGUUCUGCCAUGGAAAAGUGAGUUAUGUUUUCAGUUGGACUUUUCUCUUUUCCUUCAUAGCUAUAACUUAACUAGCUCAUCGAUUCAUCAUCAUUAAUGUCAACUAUCAGGCUCAUACGGGGACUGUUGUUUGGUGCAUGAUGGUUGCUGAAGUAACUUGCUUCACAGCCAUUCGGUACAGAAGCACGGAGCCAGUCAAUGCUUAAGAGAGUGAUUUGGAAUAAAAUACAAUGCAGGACAUACGGAAUGUGCAUUAAACUGGUACAAGAUGACAUAAAUUUUGAGAGGGACAAUGGGAAAGUAACUGGGCUGAAGAACAAACAUGUCAUGGAGGGUUAGAGAGUUCUGUACAGUCUGUAAGUAUAGCCCUAAAAGGACAUGGUUUGCCAAUUGAAUGAAUAUGGAGAGGAACAUAAAAAAAAGGGACCUCCCAAACUUUACAGAAGUUCACACAAGGUCACAGCCCUCCCGUGUGAUUGGCAGGUACUUCCCAGAGUACAGGUGAAUAAAGACAUGUUUAUUAUCUAUGUUACCACACUCAUUUUCACAAGUGGCUUCUACCCUUUGGAGUCCCCCUGUUUAGUUGUCCAGCUGGAAGCAUCUAGGGUUGGCUUGUUAGAAGUGUGGAACACAGUGUAGUCCAGGCACCCAAGAAAAAUGGAGGCAAUAAACGUUAAAGGCCCAUUUUUUAAAAUUUGGACCACAAGGAACUUAUUACUGGUUAUGCGGUGAGUUGGUGAGAGAACCGGGAACAAAAUCCACCAGGCCAGCUUCUCCCUCUAAGGCAGCACUCCUUUGAUGUUCUUCAGACUGUCAUAGGAAUAGAGAAGUAACUUAGCGCUGUUGGGUGAAAGAGAAGUCAUAGUGAAAGGGAAGAUCCCGUUGAUUUGUUUCCUGUCCAAAUGCUGGAAGUAGACUAUCCACAACAAUUAGAAAUGCCCCGCCACUGCCCCUGAGAAGGGUUUAAGGAGAGAUGCAAUGCAAUGCUUUCUGUGCUCUCUGGUUGGGAUGUAGCAUCUGCUGAAGCAUAGCCUGAUGUUAUGGGCUUUCUGAAGUGUUGUCAUUGUGCUGCAUCAAUUCCCCUCCAUGACACAAAAGACCUUCCAGGAUGGGGACGCUGGGGAGUGGUGGGAUGCAUUAACCAUUGCUGUGCAGCUAAUAAUGUCCCUGGGCUAAAUCCAAGGAGGGUUCAUCUAGGUCUGAGAGCUUGUACAUGGAGCUGGAGGAACUUUAGUCUCUGCAUGCUGACUUCACACUUGUCAUUUAUUUUGGCUCCUUUUGGAGUGUCCUUGUGUUGUCCAGCCCUCAGGUUACCUCUGCUCUGCAGGAGGAGAGUUUCUAAAUGUGGGUUGGCUCAUGUGGGUUAACACAGCAGUUGCAGCAAGGUUGAUGGGCUAUUGCUAUGCUACACCUGCCCUCUGUCUGCUGGCAGUAGGGGUUUGUGUGCCUCCAGAGGUAUACCAGCUUCCCUGAGCAACAGAAGCUGCCUCCCAGCUGAGGUUUGCUGGGAAAGCUACGCCAGCUUGACAGGGUGAGCUUUGUCAAGCCCUGGCCACCCUAGCUCUGAGGCAGAGCUGUGUAGUAUAGAAUAAGCUGUGGACUCGAACUGGAGCCAGAAGUUUGCAUUCUACCAUGGGCUUCUUGUAGCCUUGACUGGGCUGCUAACCCCGAGUUAUUUUGUCUUUGCAACUCUUUUAACCUGAACUGAGAACACUCUUUGUUGCAGCGUAGACAUGAUGUGCCAGUUAGACAACAUCGUUUCCCCAGGGGACUUUCUCUGUGGCUUGCUUGCAUUGCAGAAACAAUGUGGAGCCUUUCUAGCUUCUUUGCCCUUCUCUCUGGUACCCGAUUGCUCCUUGUCCUCCAUGCUGCCACGGUUUCUAGCUCCUCAGUGCCUGGCUUGCAUCUCCUGACAUCUGCCUUGCUAUGCUAAUGGUUUCCACAGUUAGAAGAGCCCCUCAUCUGCUCUGAACAGACGCUGGGUAUAAAAGGUGCAAUGACUCAUCACUCAGCCAGGCGCACACUGAUUUUCCAAAUACGCUUAUCUGCCUCCUGCUGAACCUCACGGCAAGCGGAGCUUAGAGAUUUGUGCUUUACACUUAGAAUACCUGCACUUUCCCAGCACUGCAAGGUGCAUAUCUCUGGACGGGUCAACAGUGGCCCUUCUCCUCCUGAAAUAUUUGGUAAAAAGGAGCGGCGUGCCAGCUCAGCUGGUGGGAACUUUCACAUAAGAUUAACUCCCAAUGCGUGCAACCUGCCCACUUCAGGUAGACUUUAAAGAUGCCACAUUAUGUUUUAACUAGGAAGAGGUGUCACUAGCUGGUUGCUACAGUGUUAUACUGGGUGGUCCCAGAAAUGGCUGUGUGGGGAUAGUGCGUGCAAUGCUUUGGGAUAAGAGCUACUAAAUGUCAAAUAUGUUUAUAACAAAGGUUGGAUUUUAUUUGCCCUGGUGCAUAUUGCAGCCACUCGCUACUCAGUUAUUUAGCUGGCUCGGCCCAUCCUCAGUGGCUGCGUGUCUCCAGCCCUAACAAGAAUUUUGUUGAUGUCAGAGGCAGGCAAGUAAGUGAAGGAAUGUUCCCAGGGAACUGCAAUACAGCAAGCGCUAGUCAUAAAAUUUGCAUGAGAAAGAGGUGAUGAAGAAAUCAAAUCUAAAGGCAGAAUGGAGUCACUUAGUGAAACUAUAAGAGCUCGGGUGUUCUUUGCUGUGUCUUAAACUGGGACAAUAGGAGAGGACUGUAAUAAUUGGUAGGGUGCGUGCAGCCAGAAUAACAAGAGCACACCCAUUCUCUCAAGCCCUAGAAGAGCUGACCAAGCCACCAGCCCACUGCUGUUUGCCCCAGUUGUGAGUGCUUUAGCAGCACAACUCGAUAAACACAAACACCAGAGUGUGGGAUGGACAUUUGCAAUUGAAAUUUCUCUUUUUUUACAUCAAUAUUAUCACAUGCUGGAAGUUGACCUUCAGAUCGAUGGGUAUCUGGGACACUGCAGGCAUUGCUUAUCUGCAGAGCAGGUGGGGCUCGAAAGAAGGCCGUUUAAUAUUUCUCUUUGCUACACCCUGACUUCAUCCGAUGAAGACAUUCAGUGCUGGGUCAUUAAGUGAUUGUUUAUGCCUUGCUCUUCUCUUUCCCUUGCUUUGAUGAUGAUUUUUGUUGAUAAUGUUGAAACUAGCACAGCCUGGAAAGGAUGAAAAACGGCUGUAUCAAAACUUGCUGGAUGUAUAUUUUUAUUGUAACAUCAACUUUUGUACAGGA